GAGUUUGAUCAUGGCUCAGGAUGAACGCUGGCGGCGUGCUUAACACAUGCAAGUCGAAGGAACCUUCGGGUUAGUGGCGGACGGGUGAGUAACGCGUGGGAAUCUGCCCUCAGGAGGGGGAUAACGGUUGGAAACGACCGCUAAUACCCCAUAUGCCGAGAGGUGAAAUGAAUUUCGCCUGAGGAUGAGCCCGCGUCUGACUAGCUUGUUGGUGAGGUAAUGGCUCACCAAGGCUUCGAUCAGUAGCUGGUCUGAGAGGAUGAUCAGCCAUACUGGGACUGAGACACGGCCCAGACUCCUACGGGAGGCAGCAGUGGGGAAUUUUCCGCAAUGGGCGAAAGCCUGACGGAGCAACGCCGCGUGAGGGAUGAAGGCCUCUGGGCUGUAAACCUCUUUUCUCAAGGAAGAAGAUAUGACGGUACUUGAGGAAUAAGCCACGGCUAAUUCCGUGCCAGCAGCCGCGGUAAUACGGGAGUGGCAAGCGUUAUCCGGAAUUAUUGGGCGUAAAGCGUCCGCAGGCGGCCUUUCAAGUCUGCUGUUAAAACGUGGAGCUCAACUCCAUCAUGGCAGUGGAAACUGAUUGGCUUGAGUAUGGUAGGGGCAGAGGGAAUUCCCGGUGUAGCGGUGAAAUGCGUAGAUAUCGGGAAGAACACCAGUGGCGAAGGCGCUCUGCUGGGCCAUUACUGACGCUCAUGGACGAAAGCCAGGGGAGCGAAAGGGAUUAGAUACCCCUGUAGUCCUGGCCGUAAACGAUGAACACUAGGUGUCGGGGGAAUCGACCCCUUCGGUGUCGUAGCUAACGCGUUAAGUGUUCCGCCUGGGGAGUACGCACGCAAGUGUGAAACUCAAAGGAAUUGACGGGGGCCCGCACAAGCGGUGGAGUAUGUGGUUUAAUUCGAUGCAACGCGAAGAACCUUACCAGGAUUUGACAUCCUGCGAACCUUUAAGAAAUUAGAGGGUGCCUUCGGGAACGCAGUGACAGGUGGUGCAUGGCUGUCGUCAGCUCGUGUCGUGAGAUGUUGGGUUAAGUCCCGCAACGAGCGCAACCCACGUUUUUAGUUGCCAGCAUUUAGUUGGGCACUCUAGAAAGACCGCCGGUGAUAAACCGGAGGAAGGUGUGGAUGACGUCAAGUCAUCAUGCCCCUUACAUCCUGGGCUACACACGUACUACAAUGCUACGGACAAAGGGCAGCAAACUCGCGAGAGCUAGCAAAUCCCAUAAACCGUGGCUCAGUUCAGAUCGUAGGCUGCAACUCGCCUACGUGAAGUAGGAAUCGCUAGUAAUCGCAGGUCAGCAUACUGCGGUGAAUACGUUCCCGGGCCUUGUACACACCGCCCGUCACACCAUGGAAGUUGGCCAUGCCCGAAGUCGUUACUUUAACCCUUGUGGAGAAGGACGCCGAAGGUGGGGCUGAUGACUGGGGUGAAGUCGUAACAAGGUAACC
rnacentral:rRNA from 1 species